rfam:Chlorocebus sabaeus isolate 1994-021 chromosome 2, whole genome shotgun sequence.
GCUGGGCAUGGUGGCUCAUGCCUGUAAUUCCAGCUACUUGGGAGGCUGAGGCAGGAGAAUCACUUGAACCCAGGAGGCAGAGGUUGCAGUGAACUGAGAUUGCGCCACUGCACUCCAGCCUGGGUGACAGAGUGAGACUCUGUCUCAA